rnacentral:rRNA from 1 species
CCUACGGGGGGCUGCAGUGAGGAAUAUUGGUCAAUGGACGCAAGUCUGAACCAGCCAUGCCGCGUGCAGGAAGACGGCCCUAUGAGUUGUAAACUGCUUUUGUACGAGGGUAAACGCAGAUACGCGUAUCUGUCUGAAAGUAUCGUACGAAUAAGGAUCGGCUAACUCCGUGCCAGCAGCAGCGGUAAUACGGAGGAUUCAAGCGUUAUCCGGAUUUAUUGGGUUUGAAGGGUGCGUAGGCGGUCGGAUAAGUCAGCGGUGAAAUCCCGGGGCUCAACUUCCGCAUCGCCUCUGAUACUGGACGGCUAGAGAGUAGGUGCGGUAGGCGGAAUGUAUGGGGUAGCGGUGAAAUGCUUAGAGAUCAGACAGAACCCCGAUUGCGAAGGCAGCUUACCGAGGU